rnacentral:lncRNA from 1 species
UCUGGCUCCAAGAAUUCUUUUUUUUCUGUGGCUUUCAAAAACUCCUCCAGAGUCACCAAUCUGUCUUUGUUAGUAUCAACCUCAUUCAUUACAUGUUCCCUCAUUCUAAGCCUUUCUUCUUCCAUUUCUACCAUAUCAUCCUCUUCAUUUUUAGGGUCAUAUACUUUCUCCAACUCUUUAGUAAAUAGGGCUUCUAAUUCUUGUUCAUCCAGGAAUCCAUCACUAUUGACAUCAUGUAAUUUGAAAAAUGUCUUGGGGUCAAAGUCAUUAGGAUCCAAUCCAUCAGUCUCUUCCCAUACCUCUUUUAGUUGAUCUUUGCUUCCUGGGUGAUUAACUUUAGGGUGAUUUUCAUGCUUUUUCUUCAUUUCUUCAAAUUUAGACUCUUCUUCUUU